rnacentral:rRNA from 1 species
UACGUAGGGGCCUAGCGUUGUCCGGAUUUAUUGGGCGUAAAGAGCUCGUAGGCGGUUUGGUAAGUCGGGUGUGAAAUCUCCACGCUCAACGUGGAGGGGCCACCCGAUACUGCCAUGACUGGAGUCCGGUAGGGGAGUGUGGAAUUCCCGGUGUAGCGGUGAAAUGCGCAGAUAUCGGGAGGAACACCGGUGGCGAAGGCGGUUCUCUGGGCCUUACCUGACGCUGAGGAGCGAAAGCGUGGGGAGCGAACAGG